rnacentral:lncRNA from 1 species
UGAUGAAUGUGUUGUGGUUUGUUCGUGGUUCCAGUGUUUCACCGUUCUAAGAGAUCUUCUUCCAACUCCAAUAAUUUAGUCGUGUAUCGCUUUCUCGUUCAUCUCUUUUUCCGGCGCUGUUCAGCUCCACCCUUGUUGCAGAUUAUCAUGGUCCUCUAAUGUACCUAUUUGUAUCCUUGUCUCCUUCAUUAAGUUUUGUUUAGUUAUUCUUUUAAAUGUUUGUUUAUAAAGUUUUGUCUCUAGGAGAGGUUAGU